UCUUGGUUUAACGGUGGGUACGUUGACUUUACAGGACAAAAUGGCAUCCGAUGAGGGGAAGCUCUUUGUUGGCGGUCUGAGUUUUGACACCAAUGAGCAGUCAUUGGAACAAGUCUUCUCUAAAUAUGGACAGAUCUCUGAAGUCGUUGUGGUGAAAGACAGAGAGACUCAAAGAUCCAGAGGUUUUGGCUUUGUUACUUUUGAAAACAUAGACGAUGCUAAAGAUGCAAUGAUGGCUAUGAACGGAAAGUCUGUAGAUGGACGUCAGAUCAGAGUUGAUCAGGCUGGAAAAUCAUCAGAGAACAGAUCUCGUGGAUACAGAGGGGGGUCUUCUGGGGGCAGAGGCUUUUUCCGUGGAGGCAGAGGUCGGGGCCGUGGCUUCUCUAGAGGAGGUGGAGACAGAGGCUAUGGCGGAAGCAGGUUUGAUUCCAGAAGUGGAGGAUAUAAUGGCUCCAGAGACUACUAUAAUAGCAGCAGGAGUCAAGGUGGUUACGGCGACAGGUCUUCAGGAGGAUCCUACAGAGACAGCUACGACAGUUACGGCUGAAGGGAAGAUGGACAUUCAACACUGAAGCCGAAGGGGAAUUCGGAGAAAGCGCGUUCAUUCCAAGAAAGCAUCAAGACUUGAGUUCGCCGAGCAGCAGUGAACUGCAUCGGAGAAGACCAAGAAGGACAGCUAUUGAUUGGAGUGGAGAAGAACUUUUGAGCAAUGUUGUUACUGUUUUUUAUAUAGAUCAAUUGAACAAACAAGUCAAGAUAGAAUAAAAUACUGGAAUAUGGAAAAAAAGAAUCUCUGUAGUACUUUUGUGAGAAAACAUUAGAAUAGUAGGUUGUGGCUAAGGCAUAGAAUAGAAAGAAGAAUAGAAAUCUGGUUACUUGGUGUGUUGCCUAGAUUUAAAAAAAAACUUCAAAAAUGCUGCUCUGGUUGGGGAGGUGGAUAGUAAGGGUAACCUGUCUUUAUGAGCGAGUUGGAGGGAGAAUUUGCGUUGCAUCCUUGUAACCUUGAGCUGAGUGGCCUAGUUGCUUCACUACAGUUUUGUAGAUGCAGAAACCAAUGCAAGUACAUCUGAAAAGAACUGUUAGAUGAGCAGUUAUAUAAACAUGGAAUCAGUAUUGUUUGUUCAGAACAGGAGUAAGCUGUUUUUGCCAGUUUGAAAUGGUAACAAACACAAAAGUUUAAUUUGCAUUUGAGUGCCAAAGCUGUUUUGAACUUGGAUAAGCAAUAAUCUCUGUUUUCAUACACAUUAGUCUAAUUAAAAUUAAUGCUUUUUGCUGAUAAAAAUGAAAUGUGAUGUUUCUGCAACUCAUUACAGUGGUUACACGUUCCCAAACAACAUUAUACUUCUCAGAUGGCACAUAGGAUUGGUCUGUCCUGCAAUCAGUGUUUUCUGUGUGUUUAAGCACUUGCCUCAAUAUAAAGUUGGUCCAAGGUUCCGAUCUAUACUAAGUUGCUACUUGUAACUCAGAAGCAAACUUUACGUUUCUAGGAUAACUUAGGUUAAAAAUAAGUUUCAUUAACUCCAGUUUGAAAAGUAACCAUCUGGUAUUAGCAAAUACAACUCUGGUCUUUUCCAUGGUGUGGAAUUCUCUAGUGGGAUAACUUGAUCAGGUGAAAAGUAAUAGGUGAUGAAAGAUGAGAAGUGAAACAAGCCAAGGGUUGAAGCAGUACUGAGCCAUGCAACUCUCCAGUUGCAAUUAGAUGUUUCAGAUGGAUGACUGGAACAUGAGGACAACAAAAGCUGAGUAGGAAAUCUGCUGCUGCAGAAACAGUCAACAAUUGUCUUGGGCCUUGUUAGGAGGAAAACAGUUGAGUAUGGCAUAGUUACCUUGUACAAAAUUAUUUGGUUUGACUCUUCACUUAAUGAAAAGGUACAUAAUAAAGAAGUCCCCUUUUGGAAAUGGGGAAAACUAGCAAAUAAAUUUUGAAAGCUUUUGGUGCGCACUAGUGGUUGCGCGGUCUUGCUGGAAGUAGGGUUGGGGGUUUGUAGGUAACAAGGUAGUAACUAGUUUGACUCAUUUCAGGAAGAUGCUUUGUAUAGAGUGGAGUGGGGGAAAUAUGGAGCUGCCUGAAGAAGAGUUAGGAAUAGAGCUGCCCAGAUCCUAGCAGUUGGCAAGUUUUAAAACCUCAACAUUUAUUUGUGUGUGUGUAGCUAAUGCACUCCAGAUAUUUGCCUGUUAACUGCAAAGAGCAGCUGUGUAGUUGGAAUGAAUCCUAGUAGUCUGAAUGCAAAAUUCAACCUAAGAUUGAAUGUGCACAAGCCACCACUUGGAAAAAUUUCAAUUUUGUAGUCAUUUCCUUUGGUUUUUAUGGAAUAGGAUGGCUAAUAAAAAGACAUCUUGCCACCUUUCCUAACUAGGAGAUGUCACCUUUUAUUCCACGAUGUAUGUUGUAUUCCUUGGAGGCGAGUCUUGCAGGAGUAAAAGCACUUUGGCUGUGCAUGUUUAAGGUUCCUUAUCAGUACUGCCGUUCUGUUAACUUGCAGCUUUGGUUGCCCUAGCCUGGAUUCAAACCAGGUCUUACCUUGUGGCUCUUACCUGACCAUGGCUCACACAGUUCAUGCAUUGUGCUACUGAAGAGGAAAGAUGUUCUUUCCCUUGUUCUGUAGAGGGGCAGGUAAGGGUCAGAGCAAGGGAAUUCAAAUUUCCUUACAGGAAGUUUGCA